AUUGAACGCUGGCGGCAGGCCUAACACAUGCAAGUCGAGCGGAUGACGGGAGCUUGCUCCUUGAUUCAGCGGCGGACGGGUGAGUAAUGCCUAGGAAUCUGCCUGGUAGUGGGGGACAACGUUUCGAAAGGAACGCUAAUACCGCAUACGUCCUACGGGAGAAAGCAGGGGACCUUCGGGCCUUGCGCUAUCAGAUUAGCCUAGGUCGGAUUAGCUAGUUGGUGGGGUAAUGGCUCACCAAGGCGACGAUCCGUAACUGGUCUGAGAGGAUGAUCAGUCACGCUGGAACUGAGACACGGUCCAGACUCCUCAGGGAGGCAGCAGUGGGGAAUAUUGGACAAUGGGCAAAAGCCUGAUCCAGCCAUGCCGCGUGUGUGAAGAAGGUCUUCGGAUUGUAAAGCACUUUAAGUUGGGAGGAAGGGCAGUAAGUUAAUACCUUGCUGUUUUGACGUUACCGACAGAAUAAGCACCGGCUAACUCUGUGCCAGCCGCCGCUGUAA
rnacentral:rRNA from 1 species